CUGCAAAACAAUAAUAGCAUUAUGUAACAACUAACAAGUGUUAUAGGUACUGGUAGGAUGGCCUAAUUGGAACUUGAUGGGUCAAAACUUCCUAAGUCCAGGGUUCAAAUCCUACCGGUAACAGAUCUUUCUAAACAAGUGUUAUAGGUAUCUGUUAAAUUUAGGAAUGCAUAUCUCUUAAAUUUUUACCGCGAAAUGGGGGUCAGCAACUGCUUUCUGAACAUGAACAGCACCUAAGCUGGCAUCUGCAAGUGUCACUUCUCCUUUUGCUAAGAGUUGAGCAGCCGCGUCGCGUGUCUAUGAUUCAAAAAAUAUAGCAUAAUAGUACACUGGCAUUCAUAGAACUGAUAGAAGAAUGUAAACAGAAUACAAUUUUAUGCUAGAUUUCACUUACCAGUCCAAAAACCUUUUCAGCAUGGGCUUGGAGUUGAGGACUGUGCGUGGGUCCAGAAGCCUUUAGAAAGGAGAACAUGUCUUUAGCAGCUGGGGCUUUUUCCAAUAUUCUUUUUUUAAUCAAAUCAAGAUUAAAGGAGGUCACAUUAAUUUACAUCAUUUGUUUCCAACACACAACAAAACAACAAAAAGAGAAAACACAUAAAUCAAAGACACACUGAGAGAUAGGACUUACAAGGUGUAGAACAGAACACUAUUGCUAGGAAGGUUUUGCUUGAAUGCUUCAUAUGAGCUACCCACUAAAGCAUCUUGCUGUGCAGUGAAACCCAUUUUUCUUUUUUGUUUCCUUUUUGUUAUUUGUGUCCUCCGAUGAUACAACUUCACAUCCAAUAAAUGUAUAUAUAGGAGACUUGGAGAGUGCAAAUAGCUUGAUGGAGUUUGAUUCCUGGUGAUCGUGAUUAAUUGGAAAAUUUCUGCAUCGGUGGAUGGCUGGCCAUUGGUUUUAUUAAGAGACAAUAAACUUUUCAAAAACUUAAUCAAAAUGACUUUUCAAUUAACUAAAAUAGUUGUAAAUUUAAUCAUAUAAAUAUUAUGCCUCUUUUGAAAAGCUGUAUUAUUUGAAAUGGGAUUGCACCAUUGUUUGUCAUACCAGACUUUUACACUUACACAAGUUGUGAAUUUUAAAAAAUAAACUUUUAUACAUUCACAUUCAAAGUAUUUAUAUAUAAUGUAUAAUUUCUUUGAUAUAAUCUUCUACUAAAUAAGUAUGUUGUCCAAAAAUUAUUUCAAGAAUACGUACGUGUUAAGAAAUCAGAAAUACUAAAUGAAAUUGUUUUUUGUUAAAUUAAGAAUUACAAACUAGUUUUUCUUUGAAUAUUUUUUUUUAUAUUUCCUUUAGAACUUUUCUUAAAAUACUUAACAAAUUUUUUAAAUGAACAGUAAUAAUAUAUAAUAUAUAAUAUGAUAACUUAUAAUUAACGUAAUCUAUGAAAACUAAAAAUAAGUUUACAUUAUAAUGACCUAUUUUCCAAAAAAAAUAUUAUAAUGACCUAUUGGAAGACAAGAAAGGCAUUUGUGUGUUUUGGACAAUUGUAACAUUUGUGUGAUUUAGUUAAUUAAGCUUCGGUUAGCUUCUAAAGCUUCCAAUGGUUAGAUUAGGAGAUAGCUAGGUAUGAUAGUGAGUCUCAAAUUAAUUUUGAAAGGCCAACAAAACCAUUAAGAGCUCGUUUGGUGGUCAGAAUAUGAUAAGAGCAUGAUAUGAUAAAUGAUUGGAUAAGGACAUGAUAUGAUAGCAUGAUAGACUCUUAUCCUAUAUAUCCUGCGUUUGAGGUGGAUAAAAUAUUGAUAGGAUAUGAUAGAAACAAUGAAAAAUUUAUCAAUUUUUCCUUUGAAAUAAUUCAUAAUAUUCAUAAACUGAUAUCCUAUCAUAUCAGGAUAAUUUCUAUCCUAACUCCUCCUUCAGGAUAACGUUUACACAUGAUAGAUAAGAUAGGAUAAGAGACAAGAUACUGUUAUCAUAUCAUGUUGGCGCAACAAACAACAUAAUACAGCAGGAUAUGAUUAUUGUUGUCUCAUCUUGUCUUCUUAUUCUGUCCACUAAACGAGCCCUAAAAUAUAUUUUGAGUACAAGAAGGACCUAAUUUACUUACAAUAGAAUCAUGUCUGUCUUAGAAAGCGACGACAAUAAUUAUUGGGUACCAACACUGGGUCUGUAAACUAGAGGUUUCAAAAUGGGCUAACCUUGACGAGUUGACUUGAGUAGCCCGACCGAAUGAGUGGGCUGGGCUACAAAUAUACAAGCUUGGUCUAAAUUUGGCACAACCUGUUGUUUCCUGGUAGAAAUAACUGUAGUUGAAUUUAUAUUGUGAAGGUUGAGCUCCACCGCUCAACGUGAUUGAAAUGAGCCUCACUUCACGAUGCUACAAUAUCAGUGUGUGUUCCGACUAGGUUAAGAGGAAGUGUUAGGCAAAUGCUAGUUGGUUCAGCUACAAAUUGGUUUCAUUUGUUGAAUAUGAUGGUCGACAAUUAGUGAAGGAGAGGAGAAUGGUUGUGGGGGUGACCAUAUACCUGUUCACCGACAGAGACUAUGAAAGAAGGCGUAAAACAUAAAAAUGCAAGCACAUGUAAACAAAAUGCUCAAACAUGAGCUAUGCAAGCUUAAAACAUCUAAGUCUUACAAAUGCCUUCGUUGCCGAAAAAUUGGAACUGCAUGCAAUGCUAUUGGAAUGAGCUAUGGAUGUCAAAAAAACAUGAUGAACAUGCCAACAUUAAUACUUUUCUUGGCAAAUGCAAAUAGUGAUGAAGAUUAUGAACAAUAACUGAAACCUAGUCUACACGAUAGUCCGAUUUAGCGCCCAAAACUAGCGUAGGGCACAACGUCGAUGCUAAAUUUGUGCUACUUAGUGUCGGUAAAUGCACCUUAGUGUAGUGUCGGCCUAAUCGGCGCUACAUUCUAGAAUAUGAUGGUCGACAAUUAGUGAAGGAGAGGAGAAUGGUUGUGGAGGUGACCAUAUACCUGUUCAUCGACAUAAACUAUGAAAGAAGGCGUAAAACAUAAAAAUGCAAGCACAUGUAAACAAAAUGCUCAAACAUGAGCUAUGAAAGCUUAAAACGUCUAAGUCUUACAAAUGCCUUAGUUGCCGAAAAAUUGGAACUGCAUGCAAUGCUAUUGGAAUGAGCUAUGGAUGUCAAAAAAACAUGAUGAACAUGCCAACAUUCAUACUUUUCUUGGCAGAUGCAAAUAAUGAUGAAGAUUAUGAACAAUAACUGAAACCUAGGCUACAUGAUAGUCCGAUUUAGCGCCCAAAACUAGUGUAGGGCACAACGUCGAUGCUAAAUUUGUGCUACUUAGUGUCGGUAAAUGCACCUUAGUGUAGUGUCGGCCUAAUCGGCGCUACAUUCUAGCUAACUAGUACUAAGCAACAUUUUAGACAAACACAAACAUCAUCAACCACUGUAGCAUCCACUCUUACACAAAUUGCGAUGGCUACAUACCAACUUAGCGUCGGCUACGAUCUAGGACGUUAGUACCAAGUGGAUACGGCCCAUUUUGUGGGCGGGAAAUGGAAGACGCUUAUAAUCAUUGGUUUCUCUGCUUAGGCUUCAUUAUAAGCCUCUCCCUUCCAUAUUUCCUCAUUUCACUCUUUCACCUUCCUCCACCCCUCUCCCUGGUCCCCGUUUCCUUUCUUUACCGCCCCUCCUCCUCACCUUCAUUCGAUGUCCUUCUCCCCUCAACCUCCUCCAGUGCUAUGAGCUUCCCCCCUCCUCCUACAAUGUCACCCUCACCCUCUCCCUUAGCCCCUCCAAACUCUACAACCCUCACUCUCACUUUCCUCCUCGACCACCAGAUUCGCCUAGCCACCGAAUCUCAUUAUCGCAUCGCUGCGAGCUGCAUCCUCUAUUGUGCUUCGCAGCAAGCUUCUGCCCCAUUGUCGUUCUGUUGCGAGCCGUAUCUUUUCCCCACUGCCGCUUGGCCACAAGCUGCACUCAUACUAUCGUUCCACCGCGUGUCGUACCCUCUACUACCACUCUGCCGCGAGCAUCCACCCCAUUGCCUCUUUUCUACACGACACCCCACUGCCUUUUGUCGCUAUGCUUUUAGCGUGCUAUGUUUGUAUCUUUUAACGACUUUACCAGUUUAACCCGAGAGCCACCAUUGCUCAACCUUUGAUCUUCAAACUCAUUUAACUAGGUUUUCUUUAAUCUUUGUUACGUUAAGUAAAGUUUUUUUUUUGUUUUAUUGGGUUCCCCACAUCACUUAUUUGAUGACAACUCUUAAGUCUGAUUGUUUGUCUUCGGAUCACUUAUUUUAAUCUGGUGAGGGGUGUAGUCACAACUCCCAAAUCAUGGUAGAAUCAUCGGUUAGCCAACUAGUUGAUAGAGUUAGAAUUUCAAUUCUGGUAGAUGAUGCACCAACACACGAGAAGAAAAAAUAUGGCGUCUGAUGACCACACAAAUAUUGAUUUGAAUAGCAUGAGAAAAAUGAAACAAAUGUUGUAGGAGAAGAAGCUUGCUUUUGAUUACUCUUGUCGUUGUAUAAUGUGUUUCUUAUAUGUCAAGUUACAAUUAUUUGUCAUGGUGUACUUUGAACUUAUGUAUGUUGAUUAGUGCAUAAUGUUAUUAUAUGCUUGAUGCUGUGUACAUUAGCUUUACCUUAUUGGUUGUCAUUCUCAAUGAAAAGUUGGUGAUGAUGUCUUACAUCAUAUUAUACAAUUUACAGGGAUGUAUAUUGGUGCUCUCGAGCAGGUCAAACACUACCCUACCUUAAUUUGGACAUACUAACAUAGUAAAUUCAAAUCGAGAGCCACCAAUUUACGAGUCUGUACAUCUAUGAUCAAAUGAUGUAAAUCAUCCCCAUUUUUGCAUUGACAAUUAAAGUUAGCUUCGGUUAUGGCUGACGCUAAUCUUUUACAAAUUUGCAUCCCCCAAUGUCUCCGGAGGAUUGUGUUGGAUUAUAAUCGGCCCUUUAAAUGUAUGUCUCGAUACCGACGCUAUAACGACUGUAGCACAGGUUUUUGGCUUGUGAGGGUCGACUUUUUGCCAAUGUUAAUCGACGCUUUUCUUGUAGGGUAUAAAUGCAUUUAACUAGAAACAAAGUCAAAAGUGCAUGAAGAUGAAAUAACCACAAAAUGCCAUGAGUAAACUAAGAUUCAACUUGCAAAAUGAUGGAUGUAGAUGGAGAAAGAAUGAAAAAUGUAAAACAAUGACUUAAACAAUAACAUGGAAGAACCACCACUCAGAAUGUUGAAAACAAGCAAUGAACAUGAAGUGGAUUUUUUUUAUAAUCCAAAGAAUAUAUUGAAAUGAAGUACAAGGGGUACUUCAACCCAAGGUAGUUAAAAUCGCGAUCCAGAUCGUGGAAUCGCAUGAUUCUGCGAUGUUAGUCACCUCCACCGAUCUGGAUCGUGAAUGACAUCGCUGGUUGCUUGGCUCGCGUGGAAUCGCCGGAGCAAAUCGCAGAAUCGUUGAAUCUCAGUGCGUGCCCGAUUCUGCUUUGAAGUCGUUUGCUGCAGUCGACCCAGUUUUCCAAUUUUUGACUCGUUUUCGCCCCGUUUUCCUCUAAACGACUGCGUUAUGGAACCAAACGCACAAACGCUGCGUUUUGUAAAAACACUGGAACCCUAAACUUAAGGCAGGAACGCUGCGUUUAAACCCAUAUAACCAUAACCAAAAUGCACUGCUCUGCUCCUCGGAAAACCCAGUCUCUGCCUCUCCUCGUUUCUUCUCACAAACCAACUUUGUCGCUGCUGCUCAGUGCGACUUGCAUCCUUGCAGUUGCGUUUUCGUUCCUUAUGGCAGUUGUUAGAUUAUAAUAUAGAGAAGCUAGUUUGUUUUGGUCAUUUUGUUAGCACUGUUAUCAAUUAGUUGUGCACAUAGCCGUGAUAUAUAAGCCAAUGCAUCUCUUGUGUAGUAAGUGUAGUAACUAGUAAGUAAGUCGUGCAUAUGUAGAUUAUCUUUUCUUUCUAAAAAAAUAGAACUGUCCAACUUGCUUCUGUUAAGUUAAAUAAGGGCUUAAAUAAGUUUUUGGUCCCUAACCUUUACAAAAUGCUUGGUUUUCGUCCCUCGCCGGAGCAAAGGUGGGUUUUAGUCCCUAACCUUUGUCAAAAUGUUUGGUUUUGGUUCCUCCGGAACUCUGGGUCAACGCCGGAGCUCCGGUGGCCCAUGUGGCAUGACCACGUCAGAUUAAUGAGCUGACGUGGAAUUUGUUUUUAUUUUAAAUUUAAAAACAUAAUUAAUUUAAAAAAAAUACUUAAUUUAUUUAACUUUAAUCCCUAAUCAAAUCUUUAAUUUUUUAACUCUAAUCCUUCUUCAUCAUCUUCAUCAUGUGCUUAAAAAAAUCACCUUGAUCAUCUUCAACAAAACCCAGAAAAUAAGAACCAGCAAACCCAGAUUGGAACAACAUUUUUCAUCUUCAUCUCACCAUUGAAGAUUGCAUAUCCAAAAUAUAUUAAAGUGCACAAGAAGUGCUAAAGGUAACGAAUACAGAUACAAGGAGAAAUCAAGACCUUGCAACAUCAAUCCUCAUCCUUUCCAGACCUUACAAAGGGGAGGAGGAAUCAACUUUUAUACAGACACACACAGGGCAUAGUAGCAAAAAAACAGAGAGGCUUUCCUUUCCCUUUCCCUGCAUUACUCUGAAGUCUCUACACCUGGCAACAAUCCUCAUCCUUUCCAGACCCGUAUCACCACAAGCAGAAAAAAUUGCAACUUUACCAUUUAUUUGGGCGCUUGAGUUUGGAAUUUGGAAACCCUAAUUCCCCAAAUUGAAGAAGAAGCUUUUGUUUCAUGGCGGUUUCUACUAUAGCUUUAUACGCGAGUCCACCGAGCAGUUUGUGUUCAACGCCGCAUCCUUGCCCGCACACUUCCUAUGACUUCGAAUUGGGGUCUAGAUCUUCCUCGCCGGCGUCGACAACGACGAUAGUUGUCGCAUGAUUCGGUGGUGAAGGAGAAGGAGUUGAUGGUUGAGAGAGAAAAGUGAUGGGUGCUGGAAAAGGUUCGGUGAAGACAAUAGUUGAGAGGAGGUGGAUUCAGUGGUUAAUGGAGGUCUAAGUGAGAGGAGAAGGCGGUGCUGGUGGUUCAAGGUCAGGGAAGAGGAGCUGCUUUUGUUUCAUUUGGAUUUUCCCUUUUUAAUGUUUAUUUUAAUUUUAAUCAAUAUAUGAAAUUAAUUAGAGGGUAAAUAGGUUUUUAUUAAUAUUUAAAUUUUCUUUUUCUAAUUUAAAAUAAAAACAAAUUCCACGUCAGCUCAUUAAACUGAUGUGGCUAUGCUACAUGGACCACCGGAGCUCCGACGUUGACCCAGAGCUCCGGGGGGACCAAAACCAAACCUUUUGACAAAGGUUAGGGACUAAAACCCACCUUUGCUCCGACGAGGGACGAAAACCAAGCAUUUUAUAAAGGAUAGGGACCAAAAACUUAUUUAAGCCUUAAAUAAGGCUUGGUUGAUUGAGUUUAGUUGUAUUUCUGUCAUAUUUUGCCUAGGCAUUGUUAUUAAUGAAGGUGGUGUUGAAGAAAGAAAGGUACCAGAAGUUUUACGAACCAACAUAGUGGUUCUGAUGAAAUUUCGAACGUUAAAAUUAUUAGGGGUCCAUUUUUAUUAUUUACCCAGGGCCUCCAAAAUGUCGGGACCGACCCUGUUCUUGGAAGCAAGACUCCACAAAAUAAUGUCUCAUUAAAACCUGUCGGGAAGUUGGAUACCAAGCAUGCAACUUUAUGAUCAAGCAAUCAAAUUUGAAGAAAAAUCCUAAAAAAUGGAAUCAAACUUGAAUUAUAUUAAAAUAAACAAGAGUUGAACAACUUCAAUUUGAGAUAAAAGGGUUGUUGAGGUUUUAAAAAAAACUCAUAGUUGCUCUCUUGAAACAAAGUAGGAACUUCAUAAGUACCAAAAAAAAGUAGGAACUUCAUGAUUGUUUCCAAAACAUUAACAUAUAUAUAUAUAUAUAUAUAUAUAUAUAUAUAUAUAUAUAUAUUCUUUCUCUUAGUUACGUCAAAUAACAAGUAGUUCACUCGUGCGAAUGGACGAACCUACCUCAUGUCUUAGUCCUUCUAUUCUUCAAGUCAUGAGUUGGGUGAAGUUCAUAGUCAUUAAAUGCUUGUAUACUAUGAAAAUUAACUCAUCCAGCAUUAUUAGAAAUUUGCUCAAUGGAGCACAUUGCGCUAGUUCAUGAUCUUUAGUAGCAGUCUGAGAUGAAAUUUAUAUAUCUCAGGUGAAUUUGCUGCUCAGGAAAGAUAUUCACAAUCACCUCUUUUAGCUUAGAGAAAUAGUUGUCAUUGUUGAUACGAACGAAAGGCACCGUAUCUACUACAUCUUAAAAGAGAGACAAGAAAUCACUAUUCAUAAGAGAACUUCUAAUCUGGGCUGUUUAUUUGACUCUCUCUCCAUUUUCACUCUUUAAUCCUGGCCCUUCAUCUGUGAGACUUUUUCUCCUGUGUUUCCAUGGUAUGCGUUCGUGACUUAUCGUCAUCCCUGUCGUGUCCCUGUAGCGUGGGGUUUCUUCUCGACGUUUCUGUCUGUUGAUGAACUCACACCUUGCAUUGAAGGAGAAGAGUGUUUCCAAGGUUUUCGUCCGCGAACCAUCGUCAUUCUUGCAGGUCCCCUCACUGUUGCGUGGGUUAGGUUUAGGAGUAGUUGGAGAAGAGAGCAGUUGUGGAAGUUCCGAGGAAGGAGAAGGACAAGAAUUCAGGUUUUACUGUUUGUUUUGAUCAGGAUUGAUGCAAAAUUUCGUCACUGUGACAUAUGUUUCUUCAAUCCCUCUUUGGUUAGGUGACAAUGAGAAGGAGUAGAGUAGAUUGUUGAAAGAGAUUAUGGAAGUGAUCACUGUUUGUUGUCAGGAGUAGAGCAAAAUCAGAAGCUAAAGACGUCCUUUUCUUCGUCAGCGGAAGCUUUUCCUGAUGUCAGGUCAGUACAAGGGGUUGGUAUUUCCAGCCUGUUUGUUUGUUCCAUUCAAUUGUCACUGGUUUUCCCUUUCCAAUUGUCUAUAAAUACUGCCUUAGUUUGUUGUAUAUGCGUCCCUGCUUUUCAUUGUUCCUGUUGCUAUUUCUCAAAUUGGCCUUUCCACCAAUCUUACUGCUGGUGUUUACGGCUGUAAUAUCACCUUCAAUUCCUCAUUUGGGUUUUUUGUUGAUAGGUUUAGCCUUGCUAUUGUUUAUUUUUGAGUUAUUCACGGUUGUUUGUUCGUCCUUCUCUCUAAAUUCCAGAUCUGAGUGCAUUCCCAAGGAGCAAAUCGUGGGUGAGCAAUCCUUGGGUCAGUAAGCAAUCUAAAUCGCUUUAAAUGAUACUGAUUUUCUUUGAUUUUUUCUUACUUUUGAUUUAUCUUCUGUGUGUUUCUUCAAAUCAAGUUGGCUAUAAAUAUUCCCACAACCCUCCUCGAUUUUCAAACCUUCAAAUUCUUCAUGUUCAGUUUCCAUGUUUGCUUGUAUGAGUAAUAAGGUUCGCGAGUUAAUGAUUUGAGCUCUAAUUCUUUUACUUUUGCAUAAAUUAGCUGGUAUCAGAAACUUAUAAUGUAGCUUCUCAACCUCAUAAAAUUAUUUUUUGCAGAAAUCACAACAUUGAAAACUCACUUAGUUGCUAUCGAGAAGCUUUUGAUGUUGUUUUAUUGGUAAGUGGAUUGGGUGGAUGGAUAGAUACAUCUUAGCAUGUUAUUUGAUUUUAGAUGACUAAUGUUUACUCUUACAAUGGUGUUUGAUUUUCUUUGUUGAUAGUAUAUAACGGACUUUGUAAGGAAGCCCUCCAACAAAAUCAUGUACCUGUUUAGUGUUUUCCUGCACUGCAGUUCAGCUAUGAAUAGUGCAGAGGUGAGGAAGUUGAGAGAUGCACAUAAUCUUUGUAUCUAAACAAACUUAAACUAUAGACAAGUCUGUGAUGCUUUAUAAACUGACAUUUACCUUAAAAGAUGCAUGUAUAUUGUAUAUUCAUAGUGAUUACACAUAGUUUGUUUUUCCUUAUUUGCUUUAUCAGAAAGGAACGGAACCCACUGAACUUUCAUAUUCAUAGUUUGUGCUCAUAUUGGUAUUUGCCAAUUUCUUCUGAUUCCGAAAAAAAAAUAACAUACUUUAUAUUUCUAAUAAAUAAUGCUGAAUUGAAGUAAAAAUACCAGAAGAAUGGAUGGCAAGCUUGCUAAUUCGAACUUGCAAAAUAUUUCCUGCAGAAUUUUUUGUGUUCAAGUGGGAGGUGAUUAGUUUGCAGAAAUCACAUAUUCUUAGCAGUCUCAUUGUUUUCUUGUCUUGCACAUCUCAGACCACUCAUUAAUCUAUUUAUUUCUAGACUAAUUGUUUUCGGAUGUAAUGUGCAGAUGCAGGGCUUUGGUCAUAGAAGGCUUUGAGGUGAAUUUUUGCUAAGCAGUAGUUUAAUUUUAUGCUUUUCCCCAGCAUGUUUCUUGACGCAAGUAGUGCUGCAUGUUGUACAUAUUCUUGUGUGUCUUGGAUUGUCAUGUAGGGAGGGAGGUGGGCGGGGUAAUGUUCAUCAUGCAGUUAGGCGAACGUGAGGUGGAUUAUUGGCUUUGGAAUUUUGUUAAUGACACUUGUGGACUAUUUGAUGGUUUUGCUUUAUUGGUUUGUUGGAUGGGCAUUUGGUAUGGUGCCAAUCAAGUGACUUGUGUACAUAAACCUUAGGCAGGUAAAAAUAUUGUCUGUAUUCACCUGAGUCUGUCUUUAGUAUUUGAUUUACAAGUACUUUAUAAUAAGCAUAACCAAUAUUUAUUUUAAGCUUUUAUGAGUAUUUGAAGUAAUUAAUCUACACUGAGCCGAAAAAGUGGUUCAAAUUCACAUAAAUAAUAUAUAUAUUCUAUAAUUGACUAGGAACUGAGUGGUGUAAUAGCUAUUUGAGGGUUGUGAUUUUGCUUACACCUUUGAGCUCAGUAAUCUUGAGCCCGUUUGGAUGCAAACAAAAAAGCACUUAUCAGAGCUUAUUUAGUGCUUUUUAUUUUUUUUUUGGAAAACCAAAAUAGAAUAUAUAAAGCUAGAUUGGAGAACGACCAACCAGCAAAGAGAGCCAGUACAAAGAGUAGCAGGUAAAAGACAGAAACAAGAACACAAAGGGAAAUAAUAGAGCACUACACAGAUAAGCUACAAAACAACAAGGAAAAGCAAAACAAUGCAGAAGCUAAACAGAGAAGAGGGAACGCCAAGCAGCGAGGAGCAAGCGACCAGCAAUCAAGGCAGAUCCUGACGGGGCAGCCGCACACUCAGGACGCAACCAGAAAAGCAGCCAAACAAAACACCAGUAUUGAAGGAAACCUAGCAGCAAAAGAACCAGUGGACCAGGAAGACCAGAAACAAGGCACCAGAACACAGAAAUCAACUUUCUAGCACAGUGGGAUUAGAUACAUUACAAAUCCACAAGGGAGAUUCACGGGUUACUCCUUCCUUAGCUAGCUGAUCAGCUUUAUCAUUGGCUUCCCGGAAAAUGUGAUGGAUGCUGAGACAGUUAACUUGUGGUAUGAGAUAGUCAAUUUGAUUGAGGUCAUUGAUCAAAGCCCAUGGCCUGUUGCUUUUCAGAUUGACCCACCCCACAGCCAAGGAGGAAUCACUUUCAAUUAUGAUAUUGCUCAGCAAGAAUUGUUGACAAAACAGUAAUGCCAUCAAGAUAGCCUUCACCUCUGCUGCAUAAGCCCAACCUUCUCCAACAUUUUUGGAAAACAUCCCCAGAAUUUGUUGGUUCGCAUUACGGAUCAGACCUCCAACACCGCAUGGACCCGGGUUACCAAACGAUGAUCCAUCUACGUUAAAUUUGAGAAUACCCAGCUGCGGAGGAUCCCAAGUAGCAACACGCGGGCCAGGUAAUUUCUUCCUAAUUUUGAUAUGACAGUAGUUGGAUAGGAGUUGAGAGAUAUCGUAUGGACACUCUGGCCAGGAGCCUUUCACCCACCAUGCUGCCCUCAAGAGGUGCAUAUCCCAUACCUCUUGAGAGGAAAAACACUUGUCCUUGAACAAGCCAUCGUUCCUACCAAGCCAAAGUGACCAUACUAAAGCUGCUGGAAUAAUUUUCCAUAGUAAUUUAUCAGUAAUAACAGCAAGAUAGUCCCAUUCUUCCAGCAAAAUGGAGAGAGAGCCUGGUAUAACCCAUUGUAUUCCCUCUCGAAGCAUGAUAGCGCACCACAAUGGCCAAAUUUUCACACAGUGGAGGAAGAGAUGAGGUGCUGUUUCCAGUGUUAACUCACACGCAUGACAAAGCUCAUUAACUACCACGUUCCGCUUCAAGAGAUUAUCUUUUGUUGCUAACUUAUUAUUAGAAACUUGCCAGAGGAGAAGAUUUACCUUAGGAGGAAUUACUUUCUGGACUUGCACCGAAAUAUGAGGAGUUGUGGUAUCAAAAGUCUUAUUCUCCGCCCAUUUACAGAGUGCUUUUACCGAGAAGCAUCCAGAAUUGUCAAGGCACCAAAUGAGGGAGUCAGGGGAGCUGGGUGAAGGAAAGACAGAAUUGAUACAGCGAAGGAAUUCAGUAUAAAUAUCUUGCUCCCAGACGAAGAAUUGUCUUCUGAAGUUGAAGUCCCAAGACCAUCUACCCCGCGUAAAUCUACCAACAUCUGCCAGUUUUGCUGACUUGUCAUUAGAGAUGGCAAAAAUUCGAGGAAAGACAUUUCGAAGCUGUAACGGUCCUGCCCAAGGGUCAGCCCAGAAAUUAAUGGAUCUCCCAUCCCCCACCUUACACAAGACCCCUUCUUUCACCCCUUUAGCCAGUAUACAAUCUUCUUGAAUUACCUUGAUGAUAUCUUGCACGAUUGGGGACCAGCAGCCUCUUUGAGAGAUUACUGAGUGCAGUAAUAGACACUCUUCAUUUAAACCAUAUUUGUGACUUAGGAUUUUCCUCCACAGGCUCUUCCUCUCCACCCCAAAUCUCCAAACCCAUUUGAGAAGAAGAGCACGAUUCUUCCACCCUAUGAAUCCCACCCCAAGGCCACCAGCUUCCUUGGGUUUGCAUACUUGAAUCCAAGGUACCCAUGCCACCCUACGACCUCUAUCUCCCUUGUUCCAUAGGAAACUUCUUAGUUCUUUUUCAAUCUCACCCACAACUCCCAAAGGAGCUUUGAAGAUUGCCAUCAUAUAUAAGGGAAUGGAAAAAAGGGCUGAUUUCAUAAGAACAAUUCUCCCACUGAGAGAAAUAUAUUUGGAGUUCCACGAGCCCUUUUUCCUUCUAAGUUUCACCAGCAUAGGUUCCCAGAAAGACUUACGCUUCGGAUUACCACCUAAUGGCACCCCCAGAUAGGUCAACGGGAGCUUACCCGAUGACCAUCCAAAAAGACUAGCCACUCUUGACACUUCCAUAUCUGAGAUGUUGCAACCUAUAAGCGUUGAUUUGGCCAUGUUUACCUUUAAACCAGAUGCAUAUAGGAAAAUCAGCAAUGUGUUACAGAGUCUAUCCAAUUGCUCCUCGCUAUUUUCACAGAAGAGGAGAGUGUCGUCCGCAAACUGUAGAUGAUUCAAUGGGAAUGUCCCACCAAAUCGGAUCCCCGUGAAAUAGACCUCCCCAAGAAGUUGGUUUAACAUGACCGAGAACCCAUUUACACACAGAUUGAAUAGGAAUGGCGAGAGCGGAUCUCCCUGCCGGAGGCCUUUAUGAAUGUCAAAGAAAUCAGUGGGAGAUCCGUUCACUAGAAUAGCCAAAGAAGCCGAAGAGAUGCAACUCCUUAUCCACCCAAUCCAUUUCGCUCCAAAAUUCAAUUGAUGAAGCAUAUCCAGAAGGUAAUCCCAUUCUAUGUUAUCGUAGGCUUUGGCAAAAUCCAGCUUUAAUAAGAACCCACCCUCAUCACACUCAUUUAGCACAUCCACUGCCUCAUUCGCAAUCAAGAUGCAAUCUGCUAUUUGUCGGCCUUGGGUAAAGGCAAACUGAUUAGUCGUUAAGAGCUUAGGCAUAACCACUUGGAUGCGGGCAGCAAGAACCUUUGAUAUUAAUUUAUAUGCACUGCCUAUCAAGCUGAUUGGCCUAUAGUCGGCCACAGAUCGAGGACUAUUUAGUGCUUUUUAAGUAGAUAAGCUCCAAUAAGCUGGUAUUCAAAUAUGCCCAUGUCUAAUAGUAGUCUUUUAUAGGUGAUAUUUGGUUCUUUCUUUGUUAUUUUUUCCUCUAUUUCAUGGACUUUGUCAAUAGGGCUAAUUGCAUAAUGAACGAAUAGACAAGAGAGGUUUUUGAGUGAUUCUUAGAGGGGUAUCAAGAUAACCUGCACUUGGUAGCACCUAGAUCAUGUGGAGAUUUUCUGUACGCAUGCGGUAUCUUUUUAAUAUUCUAAGAUUAGAUAGAAAUGUAUGUCGUGCAAAUCAUUAUAGCUUUAUCAAUGGGACAUAGGUUGCAUGGUUCUGUAACAUGCCAGUACUUUGUAAAUCAUUAAGUUGUUGCGUGAAAGAAUUUAAUAGAGUUUUUAUCCUAAUUCUUCGCUCUACUAUCUGUCAAAGAUUUGAAGUGAAAAUGAAGAAAAUAAAAGAGAAAAAUGAGGUAUUUGAGUGAAAGUGUUCUCGGGAAAUAGUCAUGUUACAUUACUGAUGUUUUAUCAUAUAAUGUUUAUUCUGUCAAGUACUAUUUCUUAUGUCUAUUUGUUAUCUUUGUUAUGGUCAUUUUCUAUAAAUUGUAAACUUCUACGAGGAGGAACAAAAUUGUCACUUAAGACAACUUUUGUGGUGUGUGGCCACUGGAAUUUUUUUUUUUGACAAAAGAAGAUAUCAAUAGAUAAAAACAGGGGAGGGGAUAGUAAAGUUUAUGCUGAAACCUUCCCGACCAAUGUGGUCAUGUUGAAUAAUCACUUCCCAACAUCUUAUUAUCACCAAUUCAUGUUCACGCUAGAGGAAUCAUGAAAGCUGACAAAUAGAAUAGAACCUGCAUAGCCUUUUUCUCUUCUUAAUUUCCUCCAAUAAAAAAAAGUCUACCAAACAUUCUCUCUUAUUGAAGGGCUUCCCUUCCAUUAAUUCUUCUUUGCUCACUCCUCCUGAAAAUGGACAACUUAGUCAUCUUGUUUACUCUGUGGUUGUGUAUGAUAUGCACUAUCUAUAAUGUGAAUCUGCAAAAUUCAGAUUCUGCCGUUAAAAACUUGAGUGGGAGAUUCAGGAGAAUAUGUUUAUUCAUUUUUCUUAUGAGGGUGGAGCUAGGUUUAAGAUCUAACUUUUUGAUGUGAAUCUUGAAGAGAUUCAGUAUAGGAUGAGGACCGCUGAGGCUGCAUUUCAUGUUGCAGGUCCAAGUAAUUGGAAUAAUUAUAUAUUUGUUGAGUGUGACAAUAAUGAUAUGAUUAUUGAUUUAGUUAGUGAUGAUGGUUCUGAUGCUGAAGUUAGAGAUGUUGGUUAAGAGCAGUUGAUGUGGACUGUUGAUCUUACUACUGAUCUUAUCGAUGGUCGUGGACCUUUGGUUUGUUUGAUGCUUUGCUUUAGUUUGUUAUUUGUUUAUGGUAGUAUUAAUUUUGAUUUUAUUACUUACGGUGUGAGUUUCAAAUUUGCAGUUGAUUCCUCGUGAUGUCUAGCUAGAAUUUUUCCCUGAUCUGAUUUAGGAAAUCAAUGUUUUGCUUCUAGAUGGAUCAUGGACAAGGUGGGAAAUUGUCUGGUUCUCAUUUGGUCAUAGAAGGGGUAAAACUGGUAUGAAUGGUGAGGUCUGUUGCUUGUGGUAUCAGUUCUAUAGGGGUACAUUUGAGAGGCUUAGAAAUACGGUUGCAAGACACCAGAUGGAGAUGUGGAGGAUGAUGCAACCUAAUAGUUUUAAGGUUAGAUAUUUUCACACUGUAGUCUAGCAUGAAGAAGGUGUUACCUUUAUCUAUCGUUUUUUACUAUGUUACUGAGACUUUUCCUUUGAUUGUUGUACUUCCUGUGAGUUGAUAUUUUCCUUGAAGAUUUAAAAUGUGAUAACACCAAUGUUCGCUAAGUUUUUUAAAUUCGUUGAAGAAUUAUAUGAUUUUUAUGUUUGUUCUUUUGGAUAUAAGCUUUAAUCAGUUUUUCAAGGGAAGUGGUAUUGGCCCUAACGUGGUGUGGUUUACUGUGUGUUGAUAUUUGGUUUGAAAUAUUUGUAUGUGGAUCUAAGGUGCACUAUAAUGCUUCAUCGGAAAAAAAUGGUGCACUAUAAUGUAGCUUUUGUGUUUAAAUAUUGGAUGAUAUCUGUCAUGAUGUAGGUUUGUUUGUGUUGCAUACUUUGGGUAGUUUACUUGAUGUUUCUUAUAAGGAGUUAUCAAGUAUCUUGAUAGUAACAUUGUAAUUGUGUUCAAGUUAUUUUCACAAAGAAAACACCGCAAACACCUUUGUUAUACAUAUAUAAUUACUUCAUUGUCCCCAAUGUUUUGGUUAAGCCAUAUUUGAGUUAUUAUGAUUAAAAAUUACAAUUUUUGGCAUGGGAGUUAAUUAAAUGGGGUUUAAUAAAUUGAUGGAAUAAAUAUGAUAAAUCGUAAAACAGUUCGUCCGUGCAUUGCACGGAGACGGGCUACAAUCCUAGUAUAAUUACUUAACACCUUUGUCAUACUCUAUCGUAAUCAUUGCUUUAAGUAUACUCAUGAAUGUCUAAUUUCAAUGCUCAACGCUAUCUCAUGAUUCAGCAUCACUGCAUCACUAAUGUGCAAAUGCAUGUUUUGAGAGUCCAUCCUUUUCUUUCAUAGAAUUUAACAAUCCCCAAAGGUGGAGGACUCCAAUGACAUUAUCUAAAAAAAAUUGGCAUCUAAUCAUACUUAUAAAAAGUUUUCGCUGUUAAAUGUUGUCAAAUUGCACGGUAAACCCAAACCCAAAUUGCAUCCUUAACCCUAUGGGAAAGGCAUGCAAAACCAGAAACAUCAUUAAUUGAAUUGACAAAUUUGUAUUCAAUAUAUUAUUUGAAUUUAUUUGUAAUAAGUUUUAUUGGAAUACAUAUGGUUAUAGAAAUAUUUUAUGCCAUUAUGGCUAUAUAUUCCUACUUCAACUCAUUGCCUUCUUAAUUGCAGCUGCGAGUCCAUCAUAAGCUACUCCCCAAGCAGUGCUCAAAUCCUCACUCCAUUUGUCCCCAACCGCUGCCUGUACUGUUUUAAGCAGUGCUUCUUUAACCACCUGCAAAACAAUAAUAGCAUUAUGUAACAAGUGUUAUAGGUAUUUGUUCAAUUUAAGAAUGCACAUCUCUUAAAUUUUUACCGCGAAAUGGGGGUCAGCAACUGCUUUCUGAACAUGAACAUCACCUAAGCCGGCAUCUGCAAGUGUCACUUCUCCUUUUGCUAAGAGUUGAGCAGCCGCAUCGCGUGUCUAUGGUUCAAAAAAUAUAACAUAAUAGUACACUGGCAUUCAUAGAACUGAUAGAAGAAUGUAAACAGAAUACAAUUUUAUGCUAGAUUUCACUUACCAGUCCAAAAACCUUUUCAGCAUGGGCUUGGAGUUGAGGACUGUGCGUGGGUCCAGAAGCCUUUAGAAAGGAGAACAUGUCUUUAGCAGCUGGGGCUUUUUCCAAUAUUCUUUUUUUAAUCAAAUCAAGAUUAAAGGAGGUCACAUUAAUUUACAUCAUUUGUUUCCAACACACAACAAAACAACAAAAAGAGAAAACACAUAAAUCAAAGACACACUGAGAGAUAGGACUUACAAGGUGUAGAACAGAACACUAUUGCUAGGAAGGUUUUGCUUGAAUGCUUCAUAUGAGCUACCCACUAAAGCAUCUUGCUG
rnacentral:lncRNA from 1 species